rnacentral:rRNA from 1 species
GUGGGGAAUUUUGGACAAUGGGGGCAACCCUGAUCCAGCCAUGCCGCGUGCGGGAAGAAGGCCUUCGGGUUGUAAACCGCUUUUGUCGGGGAAGAAAUCCUUUGGGUUAAUACCUCGGAGGGAUGACGGUACCUGAAGAAUAAGCACCGGCUAACUACGUGCCAGCAGCCGCGGUAAUACGUAGGGUGCGAGCGUUAAUCGGAAUUACUGGGCGUAAAGCGUGCGCAGGCGGGUUGGUAAGAUCGAUGUGAACUCCCCGGGCUCAACCUGGGAACUGCAUUGGUGACUGCAAGGCUGGAGUGCGGCAGAGGGGGAUGGAAUUCCGCGUGUAGCAGUGAAAUGCGUAGAUAUGCGGAGGAACACCGAUGGCGAAGGCAAUCCCCUGGGCCUGCACUGACGCUCAUGCACGAAAGCGUGGGGAGCAAACAGGAUUAGAAACCCCGGUAGUCC